rnacentral:tRNA from 1 species
GCGGAUGUGGCGAAAUUGGCAGACGCGCAGGUUUCAGGUUCCUGUGAGAGAUCAUAUGGGUUCGAGUCCCUUCAUCCGCACCA